rnacentral:misc_RNA from 1 species
ACAUAUUAUAUUGCCAAUGGUUUUGCUGGAUGUGAAAAAGCCAUACCAGCAAAAUUGAAGUACUACUCAAUUUCCAAUUCAUUUUCAUGCCCCUCUCCAUAUGCUUGUUCUAAAGUAGAAGGUGCCAUGGCUGAAAUCCAGAAUCAACAUCAAGCUCUCACCUUUGAUGUCAAGCUUGGUUCGUUGCAGAAAAUUAGCCAUAAAAAUGGUUCCAGAAUUGUUGUGGACGAGGAAAUAGGUAUGUACACUAGUCCGGGAAGUGGGGCUUACCUGUUUAAGCCUGACGGUGAUGCUCAGCCUAUUGUUGAGGCAGGUGGGAACAUGGUGAUCUCUGGGGGCCCACUAAUGCAGGAAGUGUUUGUUUAUCCUAAAACAUCAUGGGAUCAAACACCCAUCUCCCAUAGUACUAGAAUUUAUAAUGGAGAUAAUACUAUACAAGAGUUUCUCAUUGAGAAAGAAUAUCAUGUUGAGCUUCUUGGCAAGGAAUUUGAUGACAGGGAAUUAAUAGUUAGAUACAAGACAGAUAUUGAUAAUAAAAAGAUCUUCUAUUCUGAUUUAAAUGGCUUUCAGAUGAGCAGGACGGAGAGAAACUUACAGUAAGAUCCCACUGCAGGGGAAUUACUAUCCUAUGCCCUCUCUAGCUUUCUUGCAAGGAUCCAAUGGCCAGAGGUUUUCUGUCCAUUCUAGACAGUCGUUGGGUGUGGCAAGCCUUAAAGAUGGAUGGUUGGAGAUUAUGCUUGACCGCCGUUUGGUAAGGGAUGAUGGACGAGGUCUUGGACAAGGGGUGAUGGAUAACCGUCCGAUGAAUGUGAUCUUCCACAUCCUUGUUGAGUCCAACAUUUCUUCCACUUCAGAUCCUGUUUCCAAUCCUCUUCCUCUGAUCCCCUCUCUUCUUUCACAUUGUGUUGGAGCUCAUUUGAACUAUCCUUUACAAGCAUUUGUUGCAAAGAACCCUCAGGAGUUAUCUGUGCAACCACCCCCAAGAUCCUUCUCUCCUUUGUCUGCUCCAUUACCAUGUGACUUGCACAUAGUGAAUUUUAAAGUUCCUCGGCCGUUAAAAUAUUCACAGCAGCUGAUAGAAGAUU